CCUUCCUUAUUUCCUUCCUUCUGCAAUGAGUGAAAUCUAUUUUCUUCCAAAGCAUUGAAAACAUCAGAAAAUAAGAUACAGGCCAAAUCCUUUCAAAUCUCAAAUCAGAUGUAAAACUAACAUCUUAAGUGUUUCUGUCUCUCUAAAAAUUGCUAAGUUGGAAGACCUCAUGCAAAAGUAAUGCUUUUCAGAAGAGUGGAUAAAACGGAUGAAUUGAAAGUGGAUGAAACAGAUGAAUUUUCAAAAGACCAUUCACUAGCCUCCCUUUUGGUUGCAUUUCACAACAUCCAAGCCACCAUGAUGGAGAAUGUGCUCUCUGUGCUUAUGGAGUUGAUUAGUGGCCUGUCAGAAGCCAAUGGUUACUUCAGUGUGGAAGUAAUACCCAAUAUUAAAGUUGCUGUCGUGACUUUUCUCAAAAAUACUGGUGUCAGGACAUCUGUUAAUGCUUAUGUCGGACACAAUAGAGUUCAGCAAUCUGAGAUUUUCCCAAGACUUCUGGAACUGACAAGAACCAUUAGGGUUGAAAAUCUGCCACCUCAUAUUAAUAAUAGUUAAUAACAAUUUUCUUUGAAAACUCCACAAAUGGAGGAGAAGGAGUAACCAAUGUGCAGCUUUUCCCAGAGAGUUCAGCCCUGGUUGAGUUUUCUGACUACAAAGUGGUGGACACCUGCUUGGGUUAAGAGCCUGUCUUCAGUAAAAGGCCCAUCUCUGUUUCCCAUAUGAUGUGACUUUGGUCGUAGCCUUGUAUGAAAAAGAGAAGCUACUGAGAAAGUUGCCAGCACCAUUUCUGGUGGCUCUGGAUCCUUUCAUAUGAAGAUCUUGCAGAAGAAGCAUCACCUGAUUGAAACAAUAAAUUAUAAAGGGACAGUGUCCCUGUGAGGUAACAUGGCCCCAAGUCAGCUGUUAAGGAGUUAGAGGUAUCAUUCAGAUCUGUGGCCACUGAACUCAAGGAAGAACAAAGAUCAAUAUAAUCAAGACCUGGAAUGAGGAUAUUUCUAAAGACUUCUGCCAUAUCAUUUCUAAAUAUCAAGUGACCAAAUUGAAUGUGAAGUCAAUGCUAUGGGAAGACAUAAAAAACAGCAGAGGAUGAUGGGAUUUGGAUUGAGUUUGAUAUAUUCAAGAAGAUCAUGAUAACAGGUUGUUUGGAGGAGGUGAAAAGAACUCACAACAAUUAAAGACACCAGCCAUAACACUGAGAAGGAAAAAACAAAAUUUGACAGGGAAUGUGGCUGGUUCUUUUCUGGUCUUCAUAUCAGUGCUUUGAAAGAGUCUGUACCAAAGGAAUUCUCAGGGUGGGAGUUCAUUAAUCAUGCUUGCACCAAACAUACCAGAGUCCAUGCAGGAGAGUACAAAGAAUGAAAUUCCUGAGCUAGCGAAAAGGACUGUUGAAGAAGUGCAUUCCCAGUUCUUCUGGGGUUUUCUGUUUUUUAUAGAAAGUAGAGUGUGGAAAAUUCUCUAACAUUGUUUUGUUUUAAGCAAAGAAAACCCAUAACCUUUUUGAGUUAGAUCAGGCAUGAAAAGUACAUUUCAUUUCAUGGGUUACUUAGCACUGAGAGACAGUUGUUUCCUGGGGCUCUGUGUUGACUAAGACUCUGAAACUAGCUGGAUUGAUUGAAAAAGAGUGUUGAUACCGAUUAACAUCUAUCACAGGUGUGGAUGAUGAGGUAUAGGGGGAUGGGGAGGUGAUGUGCACCAUGUUUUUACCAUAGGUAAGUGCGAAAAUACAGUCAGAUAGAUCAGCUCCUCUUCAUAGUUUCUCUGAAGAGCAGAAUAAAGGAUUGUGCCUUCAUCAGCUACUAGUUUGACUUUGAGUAAGUGGUUUCAUCUCUGUACACUGGAUUUUCUCUUUCCCCCAGGAGAAUGAAGUUUCUGUACUGGAUGAUCUGUGAUGAUCCUUUAGAUUCUAAAACUGGCUGUCUCAGGGUGCCUGGGUGGCUCAGUGGGUUAAAGCCUCUGCC